rnacentral:rRNA from 1 species
GGAGUUAGCCGGUGCUUCUUCUGCGAGUAACGUCACAGAUGUAAGGUAUUAACUUACACCCUUUCCUCCUCGCUGAAAGUGCUUUACAACCCGAAGGCCUUCUUCACACACGCGGCAUGGCUGCAUCAGGGUUUCCCCCAUUGUGCAAUAUUCCCCACUGCUGCCUCCCGUAGGAGUCUGGGCCGUGUCUCAGUCCCAGUGUGGCUGAUCAUCCUCUCAGACCAGCUAGGGAUCGUCGCCUAGGUGAGCCUUUACCUCACCUACUAGCUAAUCCCACCUGGGCUUAUCCAUCAGCGCAAGGCCCGAAGGUCCCCUGCUUUCCCCCGUAGGGCGUAUGCGGUAUUAGCAGUCGUUUCCAACUGUUAUCCCCCACAAAUGGGCAAAUUCCCAGGCAUUACUCACCCGUCCGCCGCUCGUCAUCUUCAAAAGCAAGCUUUUGAAAUGUUACCGCUCGACUUGCAUGUGUUAGGCCUGCCGCCACGCGUCAUCUGAGCAUGAUACAACUACUGA